CUCCCCAGCUGCAGUGUGGAGCACAUUUUUUAUACCUGGUCCUGCCCAGACUGUCUACUAUGAAGAAAUUAACUGUACCCCAGCUUAAACCAGGACAAGCUAAAAAAUAAGAUUAUCAGCCUAAUACAGUUACCCGAGACAGUAUGUUGGAAUAAAACAAAGAGAAACAAACAACAAGAAACAAACCAACAAGAAAACCUGUCUGACAGUAAGAUGUAUUUGUCUGGUGAUGAUUCGAGUGUAAUUUUGUCUCGUUGCUUUGAGAGAGUAGAGCUGCAUGUUCAUGUGUGGUCCCAGUAAUCAGGGUGUGGUCAGAUUUUUGAGCUCUGGGAAGGGGUUUUUGGAACAGUCCUGCUAAUUUCUUUAAGCAGACAGUUUUUCAUCCCACAAGAAAUAUUAUGAACUCAUGGUAUUUAUGGCUCUCAGUGUCUGCCAGUCCUCAUUGGAGUCAUCAGUACAGAACAAUUAUGUUUGCAGUGCUCAACUUCUCAGUGAUGAAGUCAGAUCUUUUCCUUGCUUAUUGAAUGCCUGGAGAAGAUUUAUAAUCUUUUCAAUCCGGGAGAUAUGUGAUCAAGAAUGGAUGAAGCUGCACAAGUGAAUGUAUAUGAGUACUGUACCAAGGAAAAUGAAAACAAAAGUAUAGUACUAGAUGUCACCCCAUCAUCUCACAGUCAAAAGAUUGGCUCUUAAGUAACACACAAACUUCAUGUGGGGAAUUUUAGCCACAGGGAAGAAAAUAAAGUCUGAGUUGUUAUAAAGGAGCUUUUGAAA
rnacentral:lncRNA from 1 species